UGGAUCCAGACUUUGAUUAUGGCUCAGGAUGAACGCUAGCUACAGGCUUAACACAUGCAAGUCGAGGGGCAGCAUGGUCUUAGCUUGCUAAGGCCGAUGGCGACCGGCGCACGGGUGACUAACACGUAUCCAACCUGCCGUCUACUCUUGGACAGCCUUCUGAAAGGAAGAUUAAUACAAGAUGGCAUCAUGAGUUCACAUGUUCACAUGAUUAAAGGUAUUCCGGUAGACGAUGGGGAUGCGUUCCAUUAGAUAGUAGGCGGGGUAACGGCCCACCUAGUCUUCGAUGGAUAGGGGUUCUGAGAGGAAGGUCCCCCACAUUGGAACUGAGACACGGUCCAAACUCCUACGGGAGGCAGCAGUGAGGAAUAUUGGUCAAUGGGCGAGAGCCUGAGCCAGCCAAGUAGCGUGAAGGAUGACUGCCCUAUGGGUUGUAAACUUCUUUUAUAAAGGAAUAAAGUCGGGUAUGCAUACCCGUUUGCAUGUACUUUAUGAAUAAGGAUCGGCUAACUCCGUGCCAGCAGCCGCGGUAAUACGGAGGAUCCGAGCGUUAUCCGGAUUUAUUGGGUUUAAAGGGAGCGUAGAUGGAUGUUUAAGUCAGUUGUGAAAGUUUGCGGCUCAACCGUAAAAUUGCAGUUGAUACUGGAUAUCUUGAGUGCAGUUGAGGCAGGCGGAAUUCGUGGUGUAGCGGUGAAAUGCUUAGAUAUCACGAAGAACUCCGAUUGCGAAGGCAGCCUGCUAAGCUGCAACUGACAUUGAGGCUCGAAAGUGUGGGUAUCAAACAGGAUUAGAUACCCUGGUAGUCCACACGGUAAACGAUGAAUACUCGCUGUUUGCGAUAUACAGCAAGCGGCCAAGCGAAAGCGUUAAGUACUCCACCUGGGGAGUACGCCGGCAACGGUGCAACUCAAAUGAAUUGACGGA
rnacentral:rRNA from 2 species